UACGGAGAGGGCAAGCGUUGUUCGGAAUCACUGGGCAUAAAGCGCACGUAGGCGGGUCGGAUAGUCAGUUGUGAAAUCCCGGAGCUCAACUCCGGAACUGCUUCUGAAACUCCCGGCCUGGAGGGUGAGAGGGGAGAGUGGAACUUCUGGUGGAGCGGUGAAAUGCGUAGAUAUCAGAAGGAACACCGGUGGCGAAAGCG
rnacentral:rRNA from 1 species